rnacentral:rRNA from 1 species
UACGAAGGGGGCUAGCGUUGCUCGGAAUCACUGGGCGUAAAGGGCGCGUAGGCGGAUCUUUAAGUCGGGGGUGAAAGCCUGAGGCUCAACCUCAGAAUUGCCCUUCGAUACUGGAGAUCUUGAGACCGGAAGAGGUAAGUGGAACUGCGAGUGUAGAGGUGAAAUUCGUAGAUAUUCGCAAGAACACCAGUGGCGAAGGCGGCUUACUGGUCCGGUUCUGACGCUGAGGCGCGAAAGCGUGGGGAGCAAACAGGG